GACGAACGCUGGCGGCGUGCUUAACACAUGCAAGUCGAACGAAGUGGCGAACGGGUGAGUAAUACGUGAGUAACCUGCCCUCCUUUUUGGGAUAAGCCUUGGAAACGGGGUCUAAUACCGGAUAAAGGGGUAUGGGCUCGCGGCCUAUGAGCUUGUUGGUGGGGUACUGGCCUACAAAGGCGGUGACGGGUAGCCGGCCUGAGAGGGUGACCGGCCACAUUGGGACUGAGAUACGGCCCAGACUCCUACGGGAGGCAGCAGUGGGGAAUAUUGCACAAUGGGCGAAAGCCUGAUGCAGCCAUGCCGCGUGUAUGAAGAAGGCCUUAGGGUUGUAAAGUACUUUCAGCGGGGAGGCGUUACCCGCAGAAGAAGCACCGGCUAACUCCGUGCCAGCAGCCGCGGUAAUAC
rnacentral:rRNA from 1 species